UACAGGAGGGGCAAGCGUUGUUCGGAAUUACUGGGCGUAAAGGGCGCGUAGGCGGCCCGCUAAGUCGAACGUGAAAUCCCCGAGCUCAACUCGGGAACUGCAUCCGAUACUGGCGGGCUUGAAUCCGGGAGAGGGAUGGUGGAAUUCCAGGUGUAGCGGUGAAAUGCGUAGAUAUCAGGAGGAAUACCGAUGGCGAAGGCAGGUCUCUGGGCUGACACUGACGCUCAUGCACGAAAGCGUGGGGAGCAAACAGG
rnacentral:rRNA from 1 species